AACUUACUGUUAUUUAUAACUCGCCUUACACAUGCAAGUAUCCGCAACCCCGUGCCACACAGGCCCCCCCCCCUCUACCCCACUAGAGCCGGAGCAGGCAUCAGGCACCACAUUUUGCCCAAGACGCCUAGCCAUGCCACACCCCCACGGACUUCAGCAGUGAUAGACAUUAAGCCAUGGGCCUAAGCCCGACUUAGCCAGAGUUGCCCCGAGCCGGUAAACUCCGUGCCAGCCACCGCGGUUAUACGACGGGCUCAAAAUAACUUCUGCCGGCGUAAAACGUGACUAGAACCAACCUUAUAACUUGAAGCUAAAACCACACCGUAGAUGUAAAAUUCACACAACAAAAUAAACCCCACCAAGCUCCAACUUCCAAGCAGCUUUGACUUCACGAAACCCGAGACCCAAACUAGGAUUAGAUACCCUACUAUGCUCGGCCGUAAAACUAGAUUAACCCUUUCCCCAACCCCACCAUCCGCCAGAGGACUACAAGCAAAAACUUGAAACUCAAAGGACUUGACGGUGCCCUACACCGACCUAGAGGAGCCUGUCCUAUAACCGAUACUCCACGUUUAACCUCACCCUUUUUCGCACUUCAGCCUAUAUACCGCCGUCGUCAGCCUACCUGCCAAAAGAACAAAAGUAUGCACAACAGGCCCCCCCCUAAUACGUCAGGUCGAGGUGUAGCCAAUAAAAGGGCAGAGAUGGGCUACAUUUUCUAUCUUUUUCACCAGAAAACACCCUAGGCUGCAUGCAAACCUACACCGACAGACGGAUUUAGCAGUAAAUACAGGACAAGAAAAUGCCCUAUUGAAACCCGCUCUAGGGCGCGCACACACCGCCCGUCACCCUCCUCACACACCUCAAACACAAAUUCAUAAACUUCCCC
rnacentral:rRNA from 1 species